AGGACUAACGCUGGCGGCGUGCCUAACACAUGCAAGUCGAACGAGAGUAGCAAUACUCUAGUGGCAGACGGGUGAGUAACACGUGGUCAACCUACCUUUAAGUGGGGGAUAACUAGCCGAAAGGUUAGCUAAUACCGCAUACGAUCUUCGCGUGGCAUCACAUGAAGAUGAAAGGAGCAAUCCGCUGAAAGACGGGACCGCGUCCCAUUAGCCAGUUGGUGGGGUAACGGCCUACCAAAGCAACGAUGGGUAGCUGGCUUGAGAGAGCGACCAGCCACACUGGGACUGAGACACGGCCCAGACUCCUACGGGAGGCAGCAGUGAGGAAUUUUCCGCAAUGGGCGAAAGCCUGACGGAGCGACGCCGCGUGUGGGAUGAAGGCCUUCGGGUCGUAACCCUUUCAGUGGGAACGAAUUGACGGUACCACAGAAGAAGCCCCGGCAACUACGUGCCAGCAGCCGC
rnacentral:rRNA from 1 species